AUAUCGAGCCGGCUCGUUAAGAUUUCGAGUUGAAAAAUUCAGAUCGGCUGGUUUAAUUCAUUUAUUAAACGAGCGAACGAUUUUAAGUUUUUUUUUUUUUUUUUUUUUUUUUUGAGAGAUAGGUAGCAAGCACGUUAGCUGCUUCGUUUAUUUCAUUUAGAAAUAAACUUAGCUGGAAAUGUGAAUCAACUAGGAUGCGAACUUGGGUCUUGGGUACCAACCACCAAGCCCUUUGCCACUUGCUCCAGGAAUGGUCGGUGAUCGAUUUUAAGUUCAUUCCAAGCCGAGCACGAGUUAGCUCCCGACCGGCG
rnacentral:lncRNA from 1 species